AAAUUCUUCUUGAUCAAGACAAAGAGAAUAAUUAAUAAUUCUAAUAAAAGAGGGCAGAGCAAAAGGUCAACUCUUUGUUUCGUUUGGGAUUAAUUUCCGUUUCUUUUUAAAUCCAAAUCAAUUUAAUUUAAUUUUCUUUUCUCACACAUUCCAAUUAACUAAUUGUUGGAUUAUCCAUCAAGUCUAGACUAAUUAAUUCGCUUCUCUAACAUGAAUCAUUGUUUCUUUUGUUUUCUUCUGACUUCUUUCUUCAUCUCCAAGUGUUCAUCUAUAAUCUCCUCCAUGUUUGUUUUUCAUCAUCUUCAUUGGUUAUUGAUUUUCUUUUCUUUUUUUCUUUUUAAUUAAUAUUCUUAAUUGUUAACCGUUAAUAGUGAAUUAAAUAUGGAUUAUUUGAUAUAUGGUCAACAUCAUCAUCUUUUUAUCUAUUAAGUCAUAUUUGUGUUUUCAUAUUUGGGCAUCAUCAUCAGUGGCAUUCAUCUCAAUUUUGGAUACACUUGAAGGCGCUAACAUGAGGAACACCCAAGUAACACCCUGAAGGCUCUCAAUCCUUAAGAUUAUCUAACAGAUUAAAUUAUCUGAAUAAUAUCGCUACUACUACUACUACUAUUACUAUUAGAAUUACUAUAUAAAUUUUGACAAGUUUCUAAAGAAAAGUAGUAAUAUGGUCAUGAAAUUUAAACAAAAAUUUUUAUUUUCUGUAAAUCACUCACCUGAUUUCCUAUUAAUCUCAAAGGUAACCACUGAAUCCUUAGGUGUUUCAUGGAUUGUUGUUGAUCCUUUCAUGGGAAUGUUAUCCACAAAUGUAUCAGUUGUUAUAUUUGCUUUGUACCUACGAUUGAAUGUCACCUUCUCUUCAACCUCAAUCUUACAUUUAACUCCUUUUAUCGUUUGACUCUGGAAAUGAAACAAAAACAUGGCCCAUAUUUAAUUUAAUAGGAUAAAUCGUCACCAUGGAUAUCUAAAGAUCAAAUGGCUUUGACAUCAGUAACUCGUGAACUUGAUCAGUAAUUUAGGAAAAUUUUCAAUUAAAAAAAAACCCAAAGGACGAAAUUUACUCUGUGAUUAUCGUAAUUUGUAAAUCGUAUCAUUUUUUUUUACCAAUGGAAAAUCAAUGAGAGCGACUUGGACUUCGGUGAAAAAAGAUUGGCCUGUAAUAUACAACAAUUUAAAUUAACUCAAAGUUGACCAGAAGCAAAGGAUACCUAAUGAUAGCGAUAAGACUCACUCUUGAUGAUGAUGAUGAUAAUGAUGAUGAGGAUGAAGAUGAUAAUAAUAACAAUGACAUAGAAACAAAUAACAGGUCGCUAAAUGAAGAGUAACUUUUUUGUUGGCGAAACAUCAAUUAUGGUAUCAUUAUAGAUAUAAUUAUGAUUAUAAUAAUCAUCAUCAUCUUCAGUCUCAUCAUCAUAAUCAUCAUUUUUCAUGCAGGUAUUCACCUUUUCUUGAGACAAAAAGUGGUAAUGUUGUGCUAAAGAUGCUAUUAGCUAAUCGAGAUGAUUUAAUUGCUCGCAUUGUACUUUGGCCCAUUCGACGAGCUUCAGCACUGGCCUUUGGUUCUGGACGGGGAUGGUCGUGACUUCCUUUGGCCUAAUAAUAACGAUUAAAGGAAGAGACAGUUAAAGUGAUAAGAUUAACAUCUAAUUUAAUUUGCUGAUUGAAUGACCAUAAAAUGAACGAUUAUCAUAUGGUUAUCACUUGGUAAAAGAAAAUCGCUGCUAAACUAAUGAUGUUAAUCAAGAUGAGAUAACUAAUCGGGUGUCCAUAAAAGCGCAAUGAAGAUGAUGAAGAUGACCAUGGACUCGAGUUUAUCAUAAUUAAGCAAUUAAUAGUUUCUGAUCCUGAAUGGCAAAUGAUUUGAAGACAAAGAUGAUGAGCAUCACCAUUUUCAAGGAUCAUCAUGAAGAUCAGAAUCAUUUUAAAGGAGACAUUUAAAAAGCCUCCUCCUCCCUCUCCUCCUAUCAAUCAUAUCGUUAGGCUGCUUGUUAACUCAGUGGGUGGCAAGGAAUCAUCAACAUGCAACAUCAACAAACUCAUCAUCUUUGUUUACAUUUGCUUGUCAAACAAAAUCAUCAUUUCUCAUGAUGAUGAUGAUUUUUUAUCUUCAAUCAACAACGAGAUGAAAUUUUUUUUCUUCGUCUGUUACUAUUAAUUAUCUAAAUAAUGUUACAAUUUGAUUUUCUAAAUCAAAAUGAUCAUUCUUGAUUAAUUUUCAUCAUCUUCUUCUUGUUAAUUUGAUUAACCUUAAUCAAAUUAAUUACAUUUGAUUGUCGUUGGAUAAUUCAACUUAAAUAAUUUGUAUUCAUAAACCACCGGAAGAUGAUUGAACGAUAUUGUUUCUAAUUAUUACACAUUUAAUUAAUCAUUAAUUGUUUAUUUAAAUUGUUAAUUGUUAUAAACUAUAGGGGUAAACUGUAGUUAACAUUAUAAGGGUAAAUCAACCUUAUUAACAAUUAGUUUUGACCAUUUAGUUAAUCAAUAUAAGAUAUUUAAUCAAAUGUCACUGUUUUAAUUAAUUCCUAUUUAUUGACUAUUCAUUAAUCCAAAUCAAACCAAUUCCCUUUAAUUCUGAUUGGCACAAUUAAUUAAUUGACAUUUUCUCAUCAAUCAGAAUAAAAUGAAUCAAAUAAUAAUUUGUUGACAUUUUAAUUCAAUUGAUAAUUUACUA